AUUGAACGCUGGCGGCAUGCUUUACACAUGCAAGUCGAACGGUAACAGGCCGCAAGGUGCUGACGAGUGGCGCACGGGUGAGUAAUGCAUCAGAACGUGCCCAGUCGUGGGGGAUAACUACUCGAAAGAGUAGCUAAUACCGCAUACGAUCUAUGGAUGAAAGCGGGGGACCGUAAGGCAUCGCGCGAUUGGAGCGGCCGAUGUCAGAUUAGGUAGUUGGUGGGGUAAAGGCUCACCAAGCCAACGAUCUGUAGCUGGUCUGAGAGGACGACCAGCCACACUGGGACUGAGACACGGCCCAGACUCCUACGGGAGGCAGCAGUGGGGAAUUUUGGACAAUGGGCGCAAGCCUGAUCCAGCAAUGCCGCGUGCAGGAAGAAGGCCUUCGGGUUGUAAACUGCUUUUGUACGGAACGAAACGGCUCUGGUUAAUACCCGGGGCUAAUGACGGUACCGUAAGAAUAAGCACCGGCUAACUACGUG
rnacentral:rRNA from 1 species